UCCAGACUCCUACGGGAGGCAGCAGUGGGGAAUAUUGCACAAUGGGGGAAACCCUGAUGCAGCAACGCCGCGUGGGUGAAGGAGCGUUUCGGCGCGUAAAGCCCUGUCAGCAGGGAAGAAAAUGACGGUACCUGAAGAAGAAACCCCGGCUAACUACGUGCCAGCAGCCGCGGUAAUACGUAGGGGGCAAGCGUUAUCCGGAUUUACUGGGUGUAAAGGGGGCGCAGACGGCGAUGCAAGCCAGGAGUGAAAGCCCGGGGCCCAACCCCGGGACUGCUCUUGGAACUGCGUGGCUGGAGUGCAGGAGGGGCAGGCGGAAUUCCUGGUGUAGCGGUGAAAUGCGUAGAUAUCAGGAGGAACACCGGCGGCGAAGGCGGCCUGCUGGACCGCGACUGACGUUGAGGCCCGAAAGCGUGGGGAGCAAACAGGAUUAGAUACCCCCGUA
rnacentral:rRNA from 1 species